rnacentral:lncRNA from 1 species
AACUUCAAAUUCACCCAGAAUUUGAUUCCAUUUUCAUGUCAGUUUCGUACCAAAACAAGUCUAAUUUGGUCCAAUAUUUUAAAGACAUACUGUUAAGCAAUCCAAACUAUAACUUUAUCAAUUUGCCAAAGUCCAGUAUAUUAUAGUAUUAUUCACAGUUUGUGAAAAACACAUUCUUUUAAUCAAUCCAAACUGUAACUUUGUCAAUUGAAUUUGAUUGUCGAAUUAGAAUUUUAGUUCUGAGCCCAGAAUCUGACCGUUGACAUCCCUGCAGGAGAUGCCAAACACGGGUCUGGAACAAUUACUCGGCAAUUAAUGGCCCCCUCCUUCCACCUAAUUACCAGACACAUCACAAAACCAUUUUAAUUUCCCCCUUAAAAACUAAAAAUAAAA